AUUGAACGCUGGCGGCAGGCCUAACACAUGCAAGUCGAGCGGAUGAUGAAAGCUUGCUUUCUGAUUCAGCGGCGGACGGGUGAGUAAUGCCUAGGAAUCUGCCUGUUAGUGGGGGAUAACUCGGGGAAACUCGGGCUAAUACCGCAUACGUCCUACGGGAGAAAGUGGGGGAUCUUCGGACCUCACGCUAACAGAUGAGCCUAGGUCGGAUUAGCUAGUAGGUGAGGUAAUGGCUCACCUAGGCUACGAUCCGUAACUGGUCUGAGAGGAUGAUCAGUCACACUGGAACUGAGACACGGUCCAGACUCCUACGGGAGGCAGCAGUGGGGAAUAUUGGACAAUGGGCGAAAGCCUGAUCCAGCCAUGCCGCGUGUGUGAAGAAGGUCUUCGGAUUGUAAAGCACUUUAAGUUGGGAGGAAGGGUUGCAGAUUAAUACUCUGCAAUUUUGACGUUACCGACAGAAUAAGCACCGGCUAACUACGUGCCAGCAGCCGCGGUAAUAC
rnacentral:rRNA from 1 species